rnacentral:lncRNA from 1 species
UUUUAACUCCUUGCCCAGUUCCACCAGAGCAUGCCAUCUGGGACCCAUCAGAUCAGGGCCACUUUGCCUGAUCCAUCAGAAUACCACGGCAGCCCAUUUCUUUACAGACAAAACACGACACCUUUCUGAACUCAUGUAGAGGUAAUUCGUGUCUCCAGGCCCAGAAAGGCACCUGCAUUUGUAACGGGUGAAGUGGAACUAGCUCAUGUCUAAAUGGACUUUUCUCAAUUUCUUUGCAGAAAACCACGAAGAGGAGGCUGAAGAACAACUGGGAUCGCUGACCCCCAGGAAAUACCAUUUCCUAAUUCAUGAUCAUGCACGAAAGCUGACCCGGAUACGCCAGACGUCACGGGAAGGAAGAGAGCUCUCUGUCCUCCUCCAUCAGCACCUCAGGGACCUCCUCACCCACAGUGACAUUGGCAGAGACUGGGGACAGGGCUUCCAAGAACAACUGGCUGAGGGAUCCAGGCUGGCAGAGCGCCUUGUCCGCAAGCUUAGCCCAGAAAACCUGGAAGACGAUGAAGAGGAGGAAGAAGAAGAAUCGCUGAGCCCCAGGUAACAAUGAACGAGGAGGGCUAAUAAGCAAGGGUACAAUGUGGGGAGAGCACCUGAAAGAAAGACCCUGAGGGCCAAAUAGCCCCAGGGUUCACAGGCAAGGGGGAACCGGCACCGCCCCUGCUGCUGAUUCCGGUCACUCCAGCAACGAUGGCAAAGCCCUUUGAACGAGGUUGUCUCUUGUCUUUGUGGUACUCGUGGCCUCGGUCUGACAAGGGGAACUAAGAAGUCUCAGGGAUUUCCUGCCCUGAAAGAAAUCCCUUGUUCUCUCUUGGAAGGCUAAAUCAAGGAUGAGAUGCGUGUCUGCUUUCCCAACUGAUGGCCUUAGGUCCUUCAUAGGUAUAGCAUAGCCAGAAAGGAUCUAGACAAAAUUAAAAAAAAAAAAAACAUAACAGGUCACAGUAUUGACAGAAAAUGGCCUAGAAGGCACAAGAUCUCUGGGAGUCCACGAUGCCUCCGAGGCCUGCAUUCGCUGGGCUGCCAUAUGUAGAUUCAACACAAUGCAUUCACAAACUGGAAGCCAUUGUGUUGGGUCUCCGAGUGUGAUGCGUCUGCCUUACAGGGAGAGCGCAGCCCCGUCACCACCUCACUGCCGGUCCAGGGCACUGAGCACG